GGUGAAGAUUGAGGAUCCUUUUAAGUAGUUUUUGCUCAGCUAGCAAAACAAGCUGGGACAUGCAAGACAGAUAAACACAGCUGUUUGGGGCUGUCACUUGGGGCUCAGGAGCCAAGGUGUCCUGCUGUAGUGAAAAGUGCACCGGAAUGUGCCAGCCACCAUACUGUGAGGGAGCUGAAGUAAGCCCACAUGAGGAAGAAUUGAGGUCCCAAGCCAACAGCUGCAGCUAAGAUCCAAGCUCUCAACCAGUACCAGUUCAUCCGUUAUAGAGAAAAUGUCAUGCCUGUGGGAUCUAGAAGACAUACUCCUUUGUUUUUAGUUCUGCUAGUACCCUAUGUGCCUUUACCAAAACCUUACUGAAUGGAUUUCAGAAAGUCUUUAAUUGUCAUCUCCUUCCCCUUUGUAUUCUACAAAGUUCCCAACAAUAUCAAUGAAUAAGAAGGAAGUCUUAAGGCUCCAGGAAUCCCCUCAGGGAGACUAGCUUUCAGAAUUUUAGGCACACUAAGAUAUGGAAGCUAAAAGAGGACUAAGAGGAUUCUGGGGAUAUUACAAGAUAUUGCAGACUAUCUUGUUUUCCUGGAAAAGGAUUUUACCUCAGUCGACUGAAUUACUUUUUUCACUGUGUCUUGCCACUCUUCGUGCAUGCAUCAAAGACCCUAAUAUGACUUCUGGUGGCCUGGGACUCCUUGGGAAAACAGAAAAGGGGCCACAAAUCCCAUUUUGGGAACAAUCUGUUUUACUCAUGGAACCCCUGGAAUUAGAGGUGUGUAAGUACCUCUCAAAAUCUGUCUUUGUCUUCUGGCUAUGCUUUUUAUGAGGCCCUGGAAUUUGUAGUCCUAGCCCUGUUCUUAGAGUGUCUCACUAGGAGGCGUAAUAAUCCAAUUAGGAAACUAGCCAAUGAAAAAUCUCAUAAC
rnacentral:lncRNA from 1 species